GAUUCAGCACAUGAAGCUGAGCAUCUGAACAAUUUCUUUGCUGGUAUUGCAUUUUGGGGUGCGAACAGUGUUGAAGUCAGUGUCACUUAUUCCUUCUCUUUCCCUUGACAGAAAGUUGGUGACUUCAUUUUUUGCCCGUCAUACAUGGUAACUGCAAUGCUGAAGACACUGGAGGAGCUGCUCCUCCUCAGCUCUUCUGUGUGAGGACUGAAGAAGACCAGAAACGGAAUUAUCUGAAUUAUGCUUCUACAACAGAACUGGGUUUCUCCUCAAUGGGCAUGGCAGAGCCUGGGGAAGUCCUUCCUUCUAUUUGUUUUCUUAAUGUUGCAAACAGCUGACUUGGAAGCCAGGAGAGGUCAUCAGUUUGUCUGGAAAACAGACAUAUACUUGGCUAAUAACUGCCAUACUUACGUAUUUAAGAGGUGGAAAGAAAACUCUAAUAUCAACUCUUUCAUGGACCUUUUCCCAACCUUGCUGUGUAAUGCCCAUCUGUUUGACCAGACUGAUGGAAUGAAUGAUGAGAGAUGUGUAAAGCUAUUGAAAAUAAUUUUUUCCUGUUUCCCUUUAUUGUAAUCAUAAAAAAUAGAUCAUUAAAGCUGUUUUAUAAACAUGAAUGAGCUAGAAAAUAUUAUGACAGCGUAAGUUGCUAAAGAUACAGAAAUGAAAUUUUUAGAUGAGAUUUAUCUUCUUACUUUAAUUUGUACUCCUGCUGUACUGUAAAUGUAAUAACCAUCAAAAUGAAAAAUGCAACAGAUUGAUAAUACCAUUGAGUUUUAAUUAAACCACUGAAUUGAAAAGGGCCCAGAUGGAUAACUGGAAAAUGUAGUUAUAACCCUGGUAUGAAAAAUGCUGGAUUGCUAGUGAUAUGUCUUGUAAAUAAAUGCUAUGCCAAAAAUAACCUCA
rnacentral:lncRNA from 1 species